UUUUUUAUUUCGAUUUAUAUUGUAACAUGCUUGGGUUGUGACUGAGGUGAAACUUCUGUUUUAGAGCAUCAGAUUAAAGAUGAUUAAAAAAUACAUGACGGUACAUCACAAGAAAGAGCUUGUGAGGGCAGGAGAGGGGGCUGGAGCAUCAGCCAGACUACUGACAUCCACUCAUACAAACUACAAUCAAUCUCCCCCUCAGGCUUUUACAGCUGCAGAAACAAGCAAGAAAACAAGACCCAGCUGCAUGAGUGAGGAAGUGGAACAGAGGAAAUAAUUUCAGGCCUAUUAGAAAGUGGCAACAAACUGAAGAGAGAAAAGGAAGAUUUUUUCUCUCUCCAAAAGGUUCGAAGAUGAUACCAUAAAAA